rnacentral:rRNA from 1 species
AACAGGAUUAGAUACCCUGGUAGUCCACGCCGUAAACGUUGGGAACUAGAUGUGGGGACCAUUCCACGGUCUCCGUGUCGCAGCUAACGCAUUAAGUUCCCCGCCUGGGGAGUACGGCCGCAAGGCUAAAACUCAAAGGAAUUGACGGGGGCCCGCACAAGCGGCGGAGCAUGCGGAUUAAUUCGAUGCAACGCGAAGAACCUUACCAAGACUUGACAUAUACGAGAACGGGCUAGAAAUAGUCAACUCUUUGGACACUCGUAAACAGGUGGUGCAUGGUUGUCGCCAGCUCGUGUCGUGAGAUGUUGGGUUAAGUCCCGCAACGAGCGCAACCCUCGUUCUAUGUUGCCAGCACGUAAUGGUGGGAACUCAUAGGAGACUGCCGGGGUCAACUCGGAGGAAGGCGGGGAUGACGUCAAAUCAUCAUGCCCCUUAUGUCUUGGGCUUCACGCAUGCUACAAUGGCCGGUACAAAGGGCUGCAAUACCGUAAGGUGGAGCGAAUCCCAAAAAGCCGGUCUCAGUUCGGAUUGAGGUCUGCAACUCGACCUCAUGAAGUCGGAGUCGCUAGUAAUCGUGGAUCAGCAACGCCACGGUGAAUACGUUCCCGGGCCUUGUACACACCGCCCGUCAAGUCAUGAAAGUCGGUAACACCCGAAGCCGGUGGCCUAACCCUUGUGGAAGGAGCCGUCGAAGGUGGGAUCGGUGAUUAGGACUAAGUCGUAACAAGGUAACC